UGUUGAUAUGAUCGUAUUUAGUUGAAUUUUUAAUGAGCCUAAUUAUUUAAUUCUGAUUUUUUAAGAUCAAUAAUAUUUUAUAAAAAUUAUUAAUUAAUUUUUUGGAUCAUUUCUUUAGGCCACGUGUGUGGGUGCGUGGUGGGCCAAUUGGGCCUAAUUUUUGGGCUCACUACUCCAUGAACUAUGAUCCAUAACCCUAAAUGAUUAGUCCUGGAUUUUGGGCUUAGUUAGAAUAAGUUUUUAAUUUUAUUUU
rnacentral:lncRNA from 1 species